CCGGGGACCGAGAGUCCUUGGCGGCCGGGGCUGCGACGGGGAAUUCGAGACUGUCCGAACUGGGCGAGGAGAAGGGCGGACCGGCAGAGGCGGGCAGAUCCGCAGGGAAACUGAUUUUUAUUAGCCUUUGGAGAAUCCCCUGCCGUGGACUACAGGACUGAAGGAGAACAGCUCAAAUUGGCGGUAUGGCCACCUUACUAAUUCAAGGCAAAGGGCUUGAGGCUCGAAGGGAAUAAAGAACUUCUGAAUCAACUGCUCCUGCCACAGGAGUUACACAACAACCAGGCUUGUGGAACAAGAGGAACUGCUACUGUCUUCUUUUUUCAUCUUACUACCUGGUCCGAUUCUACCUUGUUUUCCUGAAUUGUCACUGAGCUUUCUACACAAGUGAGGCUGAUGUUUGUAAAUCACAGAAAGACCAGUUUAUCUGUGGAGGAACCACAUAGAGAGUUAUUGUUAUUUUACACUACGUGAAGGCCAGAGGUAAGCAGGCCAGUACAGUAUCUUCAUGACUCCAUCAGGAACACAGGGGCUUCUGUCUGUUCCUUAGACACUCAUAGAAUAUGGAUUUUGUCCUCUUGCACUUUCCCUGAAGAUCUCAAGGUAUUUUCUCCACUUCCUUCCUUACCUCAGGAAGAGGUAGAAGGCAGAGGGCAGAAGUUGCAUGCCAGCUAACUGUCCUCAGAGAGAGGGGUGGGGGCGGCCCUGGCAGCCAGGAGCUGGCCUGGCACUAUCAAUGGGCCUUGUUGCUAGGAGCUGACCUGGCACUCAUGGCUAGGCCUUAGCAACUAAAGAGACAGUGCUAGAGAUACCAGAAUUAUAGUUAGGGUUUGAAGAAAAGGGGUGGAAAAAAACCUUUGACUAUUCACAAGUCGGACUAGAUUUGACUAACAGUGCACGGCCCAAGUGGACCUCUGUAAAUACAUUCAAAAAGUUACAUUAAUUCUCUGUCUAGAUUUAUGUAAAUAGUCUCAGAGAAGGCAAUCUGAGACAGCAAAUGGCAACUGUGAAAUACAGUUUUAUUUGCACACAGGAGAACCUAGUUUUGACAUUUUCUUAAACAACCAAGAUUUAUUCUUUAAAAAAUUAAAUAACACAAGUGAUACAUAAACACUUAUGUACUAUAAAACAGUCAAGUAUUAAAUAAUAUGAGCAUAUAGAGUGAACAUUACAGUUUCCUUUCCCGUCCUCCACAGUCUUUCCUUACAAGCAGGAACUAUUGCUAAAAUAUUAGUGCAUUUGGUAGAGAAUUUUCCACUUUACAGUUGCACUCAUAAUUUUAGUUUCUUGUGUGUGU